rnacentral:rRNA from 1 species
ACGGGGCGCAGCAGGCGCGAAACUUCCGCAAUGCGCGAAAGCGUGACGGGGGCAUUCUGAGUGCCUUCCGAAAGGAAGGCUUUUUGCAAGUCUGAAUCGCUUGCAGAAUAAGUGGUGGGUAAAUCUCGUGCCAGCCGCCGCGGUAACACGAGUAGCACGAGUGGUGUCCACGAAUACUGAGUUUAAAGCGUCCGUAGCCGGCUCGGUAAGUUUCCUGUGAAAUCUUUCGGCUCAACCGAAAGGCUUGCAGGAAAUACUGCCAGGCUCGAGAGUGGGGGAGGUCAAGAGUACUCUAGGGGGAGCGGUAAAAUGCUGUAAUCCUUGGAGGACUAACGGUGGCGAAAGCGCUUGACCAAAACACGUCUGACGGUGAGGGACGAAGGCUAGGGGAGCAAACGGGAUUAGAUACCCCGGUAGUCCUAGCAGUAAAUGAUGCAGACUUGGCGUUGCAUUGACCACGAGUCAAUGCAGUGCCGUAGGGAAACUGUUUAGUCUGCCACUUGGGGAGUACGGUCGCAAGACUGAAACUUAAAGGAAAGAAAGGUUUUGACUAGCAAUAGCUCAAGGCUUUUCCCUGAAUUGGCGGGGGAGCACCACAAGGGGUGGAUGCUGCGGUUCAAUUGGACUCAACGCCGGGAAACUUACCAAGAGAGACGGCAGGAUGAAGCUCAAGCUAAAGACUUUAGCUGACAAGCCGAGAAGUGUUGCAUGGC